UUUAUGGAGAGUUUGAUCCUGGCUCAGGAUGAACGCUGGCGGCGUGCCUAAUACAUGCAAGUCGAGCGAACGGACGAGAAGCUUGCUUCUCUGAUGUUAGCGGCGGACGGGUGAGUAACACGUGGAUAACCUACCUAUAAGACUGGGAUAACUUCGGGAAACCGGAGCUAAUACCGGAUAAUAUUUUGAACCGCAUGGUUCAAAAGUGAAAGACGGUCUUGCUGUCACUUAUAGAUGGAUCCGCGCUGCAUUAGCUAGUUGGUAAGGUAACGGCUUACCAAGGCAACGAUGCAUAGCCGACCUGAGAGGGUGAUCGGCCACACUGGAACUGAGACACGGUCCAGACUCCUACGGGAGGCAGCAGUAGGGAAUCUUCCGCAAUGGGCGAAAGCCUGACGGAGCAACGCCGCGUGAGUGAUGAAGGUCUUCGGAUCGUAAAACUCUGUUAUUAGGGAAGAACAUAUGUGUAAGUAACUGUGCACAUCUUGACGGUACCUAAUCAGAAAGCCACGGCUAACUACGUGCCAGCAGCCGCGGUAAUACGUAGGUGGCAAGCGUUAUCCGGAAUUAUUGGGCGUAAAGCGCGCGUAGGCGGUUUUUUAAGUCUGAUGUGAAAGCCCACGGCUCAACCGUGGAGGGUCAUUGGAAACUGGAAAGCUUGAGUGCAGAAGAGGAAAGUGGAAUUCCAUGUGUAGCGGUGAAAUGCGCAGAGAUAUGGAGGAACACCAGUGGCGAAGGCGACUUUCUGGUCUGUAACUGACGCUGAUGUGCGAAAGCGUGGGGAUCAAACAGGAUUAGAUACCCUGGUAGUCCACGCCGUAAACGAUGAGUGCUAAGUGUUAGGGGGUUUCCGCCCCUUAGUGCUGCAGCUAACGCAUUAAGCACUCCGCCUGGGGAGUACGACCGCAAGGUUGAAACUCAAAGGAAUUGACGGGGACCCGCACAAGCGGUGGAGCAUGUGGUUUAAUUCGAAGCAACGCGAAGAACCUUACCAAAUCUUGACAUCCUUUGACAACUCUAGAGAUAGAGCCUUCCCCUUCGGGGGACAAAGUGACAGGUGGUGCAUGGUUGUCGUCAGCUCGUGUCGUGAGAUGUUGGGUUAAGUCCCGCAACGAGCGCAACCCUUAAGCUUAGUUGCCAUCAUUAAGUUGGGCACUCUAAGUUGACUGCCGGUGACAAACCGGAGGAAGGUGGGGAUGACGUCAAAUCAUCAUGCCCCUUAUGAUUUGGGCUACACACGUGCUACAAUGGACAUUACAAAGGGCAGCAAAACCGCGAGGUCAAGCAAAUCCCAUAAAGUUGUUCUCAGUUCGGAUUGUAGUCUGCAACUCGACUACAUGAAGCUGGAAUCGCUAGUAAUCGUAGAUCAGCAUGCUACGGUGAAUACGUUCCCGGGUCUUGUACACACCGCCCGUCACACCACGAGAGUUUGUAACACCUGAAGCCGGUGGAGUAACCUUUUAGGAGCUAGCCGUCGAAGGUGGGACAAAUGAUUGGGGUGAAGUCGUAACAAGGUAGCCGUAUCGGAAGGUGCGGCUGGAUCACCUCCUUU
rnacentral:rRNA from 1 species